CCUCCUUUUGGCAGCAGUGGGGAAUAUUGGGCAAUGGACGCAAGUCUGACCCAGCAAAGCCGCGUGAAGGAAGAAGGCUUUCGGGUUGUAAACUUCUUUUAAGGGGGAAGAGCAGAAGACGGUACCCCUUGAAUAAGCCACGGCUAGCUACAUGCCAGCAGCCGCAGUAAUACGUAGGUGGCAAGCGUUGACCGGAUUUACUGGGGUUAAAGGGCGUGCAGCCGGAGAGACAAGCCAGAUGUGAAAUCCACGGGCUCAACCCGUGAACUGCAGUUGAAACUGGUUACCUUGAGUGUCGGAGUGGUAAUCGGAAUGCGUAGUGUAGCGGUGAAAUGCGUAGAUAUUAGGAAGAACACCAGUGGCGAAGGCGGAUUACUGGACGAUAACUGACGGUGAGGCGCGAAAGCGUGGGGAGCAAACAGGAUUAGAUACCCUAGUAGUC
rnacentral:rRNA from 1 species